UAUUCGAAAACUAAAUUUAUUUUUCGUUAACGAUAUUUUUAUAAAUAAUUAUUUUAAAACUUGGUUUUAGUUAAACUUUUCUAUUCCAAUUAGUUUCCUAAAAAUAGAGAACAAUUUUCAGAAAUCUUGCCUAACUAAGUGAAAUGACCAAAAUGCCCCUAAGGAACAAAUUGGCAUCUUUCCUUCUCUUUCCUUGCUAUUCACGUACAAACAACAACAAGAAUGAAGGAAUUCCUUCAUUCCUUUCUACCCACAAUUCAGACUACAUUCAUGCCUUGAUUCCCAAGGAUUUCACUCAACUCAACACUAUAAAUAAGCCACAAAUUGUCACCAUUUUUCCAACCAAAAAUCCAAAAUCAAAAACCAAUUUCACUCUCUUUUCUUUCCUGAUUCGAAAACACCACCGUGAAAACCACCGCCUGCCACCACCAUAGCCACCACUGCCCAGCACCAUCACCCCAACCACCUAGCGUCACUCGACCACCGUUCACCACCAAGCAUCACCACCCGUAGCCUCGCCUCCCCCCCCCCCCCCUCCUUCAUCUCCCCUGCUUCUCGCCCUAACCCCGAACAAACCGCAGUCGCAUCACCCACUCACUGUCACCACCACCACCAGCCGAGUCCACCACCACCCUUGACCUCGCCGGAAAAUAUUGUAGCUUUCCCCAACCACCUACGACGCCACCCCUCAACUCCCCUGUUUUUACCCUGUUCAUGCCCAUUUCUUCCUUUCUCUCGCAGUUUUGCCGCCACCAACAACCACCACCAUCACCGUCUCACCUUCGAUGCUACGCCGAACCACCGAGCCCAUCCCAGCCGCCACUUCCGUCCUCCCUCCUCUUCGUGCUUUGCUCCUCCGUGCUCCCUCCCCCUCUGUUCGUACCUCUCAUUCCAAAAAAAAAAAAAAGGAGAGAAUCAGUUCAAUUGAAACCUGAUUCAUUUUCCUCCAACCCAAAUUUAAGUUGGGCCAACUUAACCAUUUGGGCUUUGGAAUUGGACUCGGAGCUCAGGACGAACGACCAAGGAAAAAGGCCUGUCAAAUCGUGGAAUUGAGGUACUGCUGGGGACCACGGAAACGAGUAGUGGCGAGGAUUUCACUAUUACCAAGUUCACCUAAGUUAAUGUUAAGUUGUAACAAGAUUCAGUAAAGAUUCGAGAUUAAGUUAUGUACUUUGAUUAAGGAUUUGAGAAGGAUGAUUAUGUGAAUUUUGGAGUUUAAUAGCUUAUGAUUGAUAGUUGCCUCGUAAUUCCCAAG